rnacentral:rRNA from 1 species
GCCAGCAGCCGCGGUGAUACACGGCGCGUGGCAAGCGGUGUCCGGAUUUACUGGUUGUAAAGGGUGCGCAGGCGAGAAAAAUCAGUCGGGGGUUAAAUCCAUAUGCUCAACAUCUGGCUGGCUUCCGGUACUGUUUUUCUACAGAGUCGAACAAGAACAUGGAAUUUCCGGUGUAACGGUGGAAUGGGCAUAUAUCUUAAAGAACGCCAGUGGCUAAGGCAGGCUUCUGGGCGACAACUGACGCUCAGGCACGAAACGCCGCGGACCCAUCCGAUCUACAUAGCCUGGUAGUCCACGUCGUAGACGAUGACUACUCGAUGUUGCUCAUACGUGAUCAGUGUGCGCUCUUACCCGGUAAUUAUUCCACCUGGCAAGUACCCCUCCAAGAAUGAAACUUGAAGGAAUUGACCGGGGUC